rnacentral:tRNA from 1 species
GGGGUUGUGGCUCAGAGGUGGAGCACUUGCCUAGCAUGCAUGAAGCACUGGGUUCGAUCUUCAGCACCACA